GUACCCGUAGCUUAACUGGAUAGAGCACCUCCCUCCGAAGGAGGCGGUUGUGAGUCCGACUCUCACCGGGUACA
rnacentral:tRNA from 1 species